UCACUCCUCUACUUUUUACUCUAUUUUUCUCUCUCCUCCAUCUCACGUUCUCCAUCUUCUUCAUUCUCUCUCCUUCCCAAUUUAAUAUCAACGCUGAACAUCAUCAAAUUAUAGAGGAAAUUGGUUAAAUCCUUGUCAAUUUCGUCAUUAGCUUCAAAAAACAAAAGGAAUCGCCGCUGUGCAGCAGAACGCCUUCUUCAUGCUUUGUGCUGUGGAUUCCGUUAAUCUCAGGGAAGCUCUCAAGUACUCUGCUCAAAUGCUUUCGAAGCUCCGAACCUCUAAACUUUCUCCUCACAAGUAUUUUGAAAUUUGCAUGAAUUUUUAGUGUUUUAAAAUAAUUUUAAUGAUUUUUUUAAUCGUGUUUUGUAAGAUAUGAGGCCGUUUGAUGAAUUGAGGAAGCUGGAAUUGUUCUUCAAGGAUGAGAGCAGGCAUGGUCUUGCAGUUUUUGAUCUUUACGAACUUGUUCAGCACGUUGGCAAUGUGUUACCGAGGCUGUAAGUAGUGAGGUCAAUUUCAUAAUGUUUACAUUGAAUGUUGUUUUGGAGAAAUGCUAUGGAAAUUUUACAAUUUUAUGACUGAUCUUGGAGUAAAAUUUGAUUUGACUUUGGAAUUUUCGCCGUCUUUUGAUGCAUUAGGAUAUGUAGUUGUGUAGUUAGUAUCAAUCCCGAUAUUCAAAUUCUAGGGAAAUAUCAAAACCGAGGAUUGGUGAAUAAUUUGGUCCGAAUGAAAGUUUGAUUUCUAGUUUCUCAUCUUCUCUUUUAUUUUAAUUCUGGGAUGGUAGAUGUCAAUCGGACUAGAAAUUGUUGUAUUUUGUUUGGGAGAAGGUUUGUGUAUAUAUAGUGUGUUAUAUUCAUGGUGCUGACACUGAAGAACUGGCCAAUACUUUGGCAAUAAUUGAUGGAAACUGAUUUUUUGGCUCCUGCAGCAACUGGGUCCCUCUGAGGCUCUACUCUGUCCUUCAAUGAUGCCUUUAAUACUGCAGUUUCGUUUUAUGCAGUAACGUUUACUUUGCUUUCUACUCCGUAGUUUUAAUGUACAAGGAAACAUUAGUGGUUUAGUCACUCUUUUUUUACUAGUUAUCUUUUUAUUAAUAUGUACAGUGACCCCUGAUUUUGUGCAAUAAUAUGAGUUAAUAGCUAUGGAGUAUA